GUCGAACGUUGGCGGCGUGCUUAAUACAUGCAAGUCAACUGAAGCAGUGGUAGCAAUAUCGCUGUGGAGGUGGCGCACGGGUGAGUAACACGUAGGUAAUCUGCCUUCAGGUCUGGCAUAACUCCGGGAAACCGGGGCUAAUAGCAGAUGAUGCAGCGGCUCGACAUCGAGACAGUUGUUAAAGCUAUGGCGCCUGAAGAUGAGCCUGCGUCUGAUUAGCUAGUUGGCGGGGUAACGGCCCACCAAGGCAACGAUCAGUAGCUGGUCUGAGAGGAUGAUCAGCCACACUGGAACUGAGACACGGUCCAGACUCCUACGGGAGGCAGCAGUAAGGAAUAUUGCUCAAUGGGAGAAAUCCUGAAGCAGCAACGCCGCGUGAGGGACGAAGGGCUUUUGCUUGUAAACCUCUGUAGUGAGAGAAAAAAAUCCCAAUCUUUGGGACAUGAUGGUAUCUCAAAAGUAAGCCCCGGCUAACUACGUG
rnacentral:rRNA from 1 species